rnacentral:rRNA from 1 species
CAGUCGCCGCGGUAAUACGAAGGGGGCUUGCGUUGCUCGGAAUUACUGGGCGUAAAGGGAGCGUAGGCGGACAUUUAAGUCAGGGGUGAAAUCCCAGAGCUCAACUCUGGAACUGCCUUUGAUACUGGGUGUCUUGAGUGUGAUAGAGGUAUGUGGAACUCCGAGUGUAGAGGUGAAAUUCGUAGAUAUUCGGAAGAACACCAGUGGCGAAGGCGACAUACUGGAUCAUUACUGACGCUGAGGCUCGAAAGCGUGGGGAGCAAACAGGAUUAGAUACCCCGGUAGUCCCUGUCUCUUAUAC